AUGGGUUCCCGAUUGUUCCUAGAUAUUUCAGAGCAACUAGAGUGGUCUUACCUGACAAGCUCCAAUGUUGUGCUGAAGUAUUUUGAACAAGCUUGUCCUUUGCCUUAUGCUGGAACAAGGCACCUUCUAUUCCCCAUGGGCACCAAGAAUGCGAAAACAUUGAUGAUUCGAGCAAAUGUAAGUUCAGGCUUCAAGAUUGAGCCGAGCGCCCUACCAGCAGAUCUGGAUAAUGCAUACAAGAAUGAGAAAGCAUAUCAGCGAUUGGAUAUUUCUGGCCCUACAGUUAACCCUUUUGUUUUUUCCUGUACGGCGAGGGCGAGAUAA
rnacentral:rRNA from 1 species